GAUGAACGCUGGCGGCGUGCCUAAUACAUGCAAGUCGAGCGAAUGGAUUAAGAGCUUGCUCUUAUGAAGUUAGCGGCGGACGGGUGAGUAACACGUGGGUAACCUGCCCAUAAGACUGGGAUAACUCCGGGAAACCGGGGCUAAUACCGGAUAACAUUUUGAACCGCAUGGUUCGAAAUUGAAAGGCGGCUUCGGCUGUCACUUAUGGAUGGACCCGCGUCGCAUUAGCUAGUUGGUGAGGUAACGGCUCACCAAGGCAACGAUGCGUAGCCGACAUGAGAGGGUGAUCGGCCACAGUGGGACUGGGACACGGCCCAGACUCCUACGGGAGGCAGCAGUAGGGAAUCUUCCGCAAUGGACGAAAGUCUGACGGAGCAACGCCGCGUGAGUGAUGAAGGCUUUCGGGUCGUAAAACUCUGUUGUUAGGGAAGAACAAGUGCUAGUUGAAUAAGCUGGCACCUUAACGGUACCUAACCAGAAAGCCACGGCUAACUACGUGCCAGCCGCCGCAGUAA
rnacentral:rRNA from 1 species